rnacentral:lncRNA from 1 species
AUGGCUUUCGGGAUUUUCCUUCCUUUCAAAGAAAUCCAGUGGAUUAUUCAAGCAUUUUUUUCCCCUUUAAGCGUGUGUUCCCACUUUUCUUUCUUUUUUUUUUUAUUUCUUCUUCUUCCCUUUUUUUUUUUUUUUUUGGUACCUAAAUGUUCAACAGAGUUUCUUUUUACAAUGGAUUCAACAAUCAGACUUUCAUAUAUGGGGAGAAGACUCACCAAUUUUUAUUUCGCAGGAUCUUCCUUGGAAAGUAUCUUAGGACACAAAACUCACAUGGCUUCGCAACACUUCAGAUAACUUAUUACUAAGUUAAAAAGGAAUGGAAAUACUCCUUCAGGCUUCUCCAGUUUCACCGUGUGCUGCCAGGUCAACAUUCUCAACACAGCUAAGCAGGGACAGAUGGUGCCCAUUCCCUCAGUGACAGAAUCAUCCAGCAAUGUCAACAGCAUUUACAUCCUUGAGAGAGAGAUGCCUUAUGACUAAAAGUUUCUCACCAUGUGUACUCCAGAAUGCAGAAAUGAAAGUCUUAUAACAACUCAUAGCCAAUUAUGUUCAAAUUUAAUUACAUGAAUCAUUUAGAAAUAAACUCAGUUACUUUGUUUUAUCA